UGAAGUAUCAUUUUUUCAUUAAAAAAUAUGAGACAGUUUGUCAUACUCACAACUGCCGGGUCUACCUGCAAUCUCUUUGUUCCAGGAGAUGAGAGGUGACUCCUGUGCCUCGAUGUCCUGCUCUCUGGAAGCUCAACUGAGCUGCUCCCCAUGGAAGACGGGCCAGGGAGGCUUUUGUCCUCAGGAGGCAAAGCUGUGGCCUACUGACAUUUUUUCCUGACAGCUGCUCUUAGGUGAAACACUGGCCUUGGUUUACCAGAUGCCUGAGCAUCUCAUAAGAAACUGCCCAAGCGGCCAAACAAUCCCAUCAGGUUACCAAGGUUCGUGUCGACUUAGGAGAUAAGCAGGGCCAGGUGUCCAGAACCCAGCCGCCAUUGUUAUCUCUCUGGCGUCAGGUGACAGCCAUUGAGGGUCAGUGUCCUGGCUUCAAGUUUCCAGAGCACUCAAGAAUUGCCUUUCUUUUCCCAUCCCAAACUAAAAAAGGAGGGAAGGUGGUGAGAACAUUGGUUCUUUGGAAAUACAUCUUGGCUACCUUGACUUGGGUGAGGGGAUAGGUUUGACGAUGACUAGUGUAAAUCUCUGUUGGGUUCCACCUACUGGACUUCCAUGUAACCCUCCACUUGUCCUUCCUUCCAACAGAUAGGUAGGGUCCGAUCUAGUGGAGGAAAGUGAGAGGCCUGGCCCUACCUCGCUGUGUCUCCCCUGCUCUCCCCACCUCCGAGUCUCAGGGCCCUCCUAAUCCUUCCAGCACCUCAGCCAAAACUGACUCACAGGAAAGAAGCUAGCUUCUCAUUCACUUUGACAGACAUUUAUGGACUGUGCUGAUUGGCACUAUGACUGGUUUAUGAUUUCUGACCUCACAUGUGAAUACUGUGAAGCGAGUCUUUCAUUCAUCUCUAAUUGAACACCAUUCCUGGGCCACUUGUUAGCUCUUCAAAUCCUGCUCUCCCUCCUCAUGGAAGGGACAAAAUUGUCAUCUACUGGCUCCUAUGUGCCAGGUAUUGUGGGUGGCAGUUCUAUGCAGUGGUUAAUAUAGGUGCCAGAUCACUCAAGUUCAAAUCCUGGCUCUACUAAGUACUAGCUCUCUGCGCUUGGAAACAUUACUUGACCUCACUGAGGUUUUCUCACCCGUUAAGUCGGGAUAUAACAGAAUUUAUG
rnacentral:lncRNA from 1 species